rnacentral:rRNA from 1 species
AAUGAACGCUGGCGGCGCGCCUAAUACAUGCAAGUCGAGCGAGAAGACGUAGCAAUACGUUUGUAAAGCGGCGAACGGGUGAGGAAUACAUGGGUAACCUACCCUCGAGUGGGGAAUAACUAGCCGAAAGGUUAGCUAAUACCGCGUACGCUUCUUGGACUUCGGUUCAGGGAGGAAAGCGAUACCGUGGGUAUCGCGCUCUUGGAUGGGCUCAUGUCCUAUCAGCUUGUUGGUGAGGUAACGGCUCACCAAGGCUUCGACGGGUAGCUGGUCUGAGAGGACGAUCAGCCACACUGGCACUGCGACACGGGCCAGACUCCUACGGGAGGCAGCAGUAAGGAAUAUUGCGCAAUGGGCGAAAGCCUGACGCAGCGACGCCGCGUGGGGGAUGAAGGUCUUCGGAUUGUAAACCUCUUUCAGCUCCGACGAAGCGAGAGUGACGGUAGGAGCAGAAGAAGCACCGGCCAACUACGUGCCAGCCGCCGCCGU